rnacentral:rRNA from 1 species
UACGGAGGGUGCAAGCGUUAAUCGGAAUUACUGGGCGUAAAGCGCACGCAGGCGGUCUGUCAAGUCGGAUGUGAAAUCCCCGGGCUCAACCUGGGAACUGCAUCCGAAACUGGCAGGCUAGAGUCUUGUAGAGGGGGGUAGAAUUCCAGGUGUAGCGGUGAAAUGCGUAGAGAUCUGGAGGAAUACCGGUGGCGAAGGCGGCCCCCUGGACAAAGACUGACGCUCAGGUGCGAAAGCGUGGGGAGCAAACAGGAUUAGAUACCCUGGUAGUCCACGCCGUAAACGAUGACGACUUGGAGGUUGUGGCGUUGAGGCGUGGCUGCCGGAGCUAACGCGUUAAGUCGACCGCCUGGGGAGUACGGCCGCAAGGUUGAA